UACGGAGGGUGCAAACGUUGCUCGGAAUCAUUGGGCGUAAAGCGCACGUAGGCGGCCGAUUAAGUCGGGUGUGAAAGCCCCGGGCUCAACCCGGGAAGUGCACUCGAAACUGGACGGCUUGAAUAUGGAAGAGGGUCGCGGAAUUCCCGGUGUAGAGGUGAAAUUCGUAGAUAUCGGGAGGAAUACCGAUGGCGAAGGCAGGUCUCUGGGCUGACAGCUGACGCUCAUGCACGAAAGGCGUGGGGAGCAAACAGG
rnacentral:rRNA from 1 species